rnacentral:rRNA from 1 species
GAUGAACGCUGGCGGCGUGCUUAACACAUGCAAGUCGAACGAUGAAGCCCAGCUUGCUGGGUGGAUUAGUGGCGAACGGGUGAGUAACACGUGAGUAACCUGCCCUUAACUCUGGGAUAAGCCUGGGAAACUGGGUCUAAUACCGGAUAGGAGCGUCCACCGCAUGGUGGGUGUUGGAAAGAUUUAUCGGUUUUGGAUGGACUCGCGGCCUAUCAGCUUGUUGGUGAGGUAAUGGCUCACCAAGGCGACGACGGGUAGCCGGCCUGAGAGGGUGACCGGCCCAACGGGGCUAGAGACCCGGCCCGGACCCCUUCGGGGGGGAGCAGGGGGGAAUUUGGCAAAAUGGGCGAAGGCCUAAUGGAGGAACCCCGCGGGGGGGAUGACGGCCUUGGGGUUGAAACCCUUUUUCAGUAGGGAAGAGGGAAAGGUGACGGUCCUUGCAGAAGAAGCACGGGUAAAUCAGUG